GCAUUUUCUUCUGUAUUUGUUUACGUUUUCUAUCAAGUUAAUAAAGAAAAUGGUGUUAACUGUGAAUGUGUUCUAUUUGUUCAACUAGCAAACCAAAUGUCACCACAGUAUAAUGAGUCAAUAUUGACGCAAAAUGCAGUGUUGGAUGACUUCUUGAGAAUAACCAAAAGGAGGAACACAUUAAACACAUUUGGAAAUCAUGAUCAGUCGUGGUAACAAAUAUAACUUCAUGUAACAUGCAAUAAAAACUUUAUAAACAGAUGCUUCACAAAAAAAUGACAACAAUAUAUUACAUUGAGGAGGCAGGGUAGCCUAGUGGUUAGAGUGUAGAGGUGGCAGGGUAGCCUAGUGGUUAGAGUGUAGAGGCGGCAGGGUAGCCUAGUGGUUAGAGUGUAGAGGAGGCAGGGUAGCCUAGUGGUUAGAGUGUAGAGGAGGUAGGGUAGCCUAGUGGUUAGAGUGUAGAGGUGGCAGGGUAGCCUAGUGGUUAGAGUGUAGAGGCGGCAGGGUAGCCUAGUGGUUAGAGUGUAGAGGAGGCAGGGUAGCCUAGUGGUUAGAGUGUAGAGGCGGCAGGGUAGCCUAGUGGUUAGAGUGUAGAGGAGGCAGGGUAG
ensembl:lncRNA